UACGAAGGGGGCUAGCGUUGUUCGGAAUCACUGGGCGUAAAGCGCUCGUAGGCGGAUCUUUAAGUUAGAGGUGAAAUCCCAAGGCUCAACCUUGGAACUGCCUUUGAUACUGGGGAUCUCGAGUCCGGGAGAGGUGAGUGGAACUGCGAGUGUAGAGGUGAAAUUCGUAGAUAUUCGCAAGAACACCAGUGGCGAAGGCGGCUCACUGGCCCGGUACUGACGCUGAGGAGCGAAAGCGUGGGGAGCAAACAGG
rnacentral:rRNA from 1 species